rnacentral:lncRNA from 1 species
AGUAGUUUCAAAAUAUUUCCUACGUCACACAAGGAUCUAUCUAGGAGAAACCAACAACGAGCAAAGAGAUAAUGCAUCUUCAUACCGUUGAAGAUCGCAUAGCGGAAGCGUUACUAUGAACACGGUCGAUGGAGUCGUACUCGCGGCGAUUCAAAUCGCGGAAGAUCCGAUGUAAACACCGAACGUACGGUGUCUCCACAUUCAACACACCUACAGCCCGGGGACGUACCCUCCUUCUUGAUUCAACAAGGAG